UGUUACUGGUUGGAAGAUGUUCUUGAUUGUAAAGGAGAGGAAUUUAUAAAGAUAUAGAUAUACAAAGGAGAGUGGGCAGGGGUCUGCAAAGAGACGGGUCGUGAGGAAGGAAAGAGCCCUUUUAGGAGAAGGAGGCUGCCACUGUGUGAAUUAGAUGAGAUUCCUGAUGAGAUCAGCAACUUCUGACAUCCUUGAACACUGAGGAAUAUGGGACUAUACUUGCACAAUAUUUUUUUUAAGGGAUGGAUCUUACUUUUUUAUGACAAGCCAAAGCACAGCCAUGUCAGAAGGGAGGCCCAGCUUGUCCUAACCUUACAUAUCAGAUAUAACUUUAAAGGAAAUUAGAAAUCAACUUUAAUACCUGUUACACAGAAUCUGUUACAAAAAUCUUCCUUUUGAUGUACAUUUCAUGUUUAGGUGAGGAUGUACUUUUUCUUCUACUUCUGACUCCCAGAUCAGACAGAUCAGUGACUGGUGAAUGAAACUUAAAAUCCUUUCCCCCUUCCAAGUAUGUUUUCCAAAAACAGGUUGCCUAUCUGAAACUAAUGACCUGGUAGUGAUCUACUGCCAUUCAUAAGUAUUGGGUUCUGUGCCUAUUCAAGGACCUCAUGGAAAGAUUAGCUAGCUCCUCAUGGCGCCCUUUCUGCCCUACACGUGGUCUGUGCUUCUCCUGGAACUGGCAGACUGGGUGCCAUUUUCCUCAGUUCCUGGAUGACUGCCAUGAAACGACGAUCAGUAAUUGUGUUCCACUCCGAGUAACCAACUCUCCAGGCUGUCAGCUUGAGGGUCCAUGCGUCGAGAUAGAGAACCGCUCCCUGUCUCAACAAUGAGAUUUCUCUAUGUUGAGCUGCACACAGAGUUCCCACAGAAGGCCCAACACAUAACGGACUUGUAAAAGUAACUCUUCUCUGGUUGGUCCUGCCAGGAGCCAGUUGUUCAGUAUGGAAACACCACCAGACCCUGAGUCCGAAGAUGGGCAAUAAUCACUGCCAUACACUUUGUGAAGACUCUCGGGACCAUGGACAAUCCAAAGGGGAGCACUUUGUACUGGGAUAUCUGGUCUCCGACUGUGAACCUCAAGUACUCCCAGUAGUUUUUCUGGAUCCCUAUAUGGAAGUAUGCAACUUUUAAAUCUAGUGUUGCCAACCACUCCUCCCUGGUUAGGAGAAGUAGUAUGCUCUGCAACGUCAUCAUCAUGAAUUUGCAUACAUCUAUAAAGAGAUUCAUAUCUCUCAGAUCCAUAAUUGCCGUUAUUCAACCAUUCCUUUUCACAAUUUGGAAAUAAUGGGAAUAAAAGCCCUGCAUCCUCAGCACCCACUGCACCAGAACAAUAGCCCC